CUCAACCUCCUCCAUCCCACUAAAACAGCACGGCAGGCUUAUUUGACCCUGGGCCGAGGCAGAGGAACACCCUAGAAAAACAGAGUAAAGAUCAAGUUAAAGCUCAAGUCAACCCAACUACUGAACCACCUUGGACAGCAGGUCUACAGUCGUUGAGUGAUGGCUGGCCAUGACUCAUCCCAGUCACCACCUCAACUUUGGCAUGAAUCCCGAUCACGCCCGCAACUCGCUGUCCAACUGUGGCAUCCGCCAACCGAAAUACGGCGACAGGAAGGUCCACCACAUGUACAUGAGGAAAAAAGGUGGGCUUUACCUAAUUUAUGGUUGAAACCAAAUCUACAAAAUCUGAAAAGAUAACAUUUUCUCUUUUGUCUGACAAUAAAUAAUUAACUAGAUAAUUCUUAUGUGUUUUAGGUCAAUGAUGGGCAAU